GCUGCACUCAGAGCGGAAGCCUUGAUUUCUGUCAACGAACUCACACAAAAGGCAAACCGUAUAAAUAUCAGGAAAGUAGAUACAGGUUCAGUCCUAGUGGAAGUUCUAAAUCAACAGACUCAUGAACAGGAAGAACUUUAGGAAUUGAAACCCUACAAACCAUCAACAAACUCUUAAGAGGAGAAGCAGUAGAAAUGAAAAGAUUGCAAAAAAGUUCUUUAUUUACAAUGGAGUGUUUAAGGAACAUCCAGGGACUUUCACAUUGGAGAACCCAUUUAGAUGUAUGGAGAAUGGGACAUUUUCCUUUCAGUGUCCACUCUUUCUUCACAGCAAUGAACUCAUCAGGAAAUCAGUCUUAAACACAUGACGUUGUAUUUUGAAGUGCUUGUGUAUAUAUGUAAACUGAACAGCAACGAAAUUUUGAAGGCAUGUCAAACAAUGUGAGUAUAAUCUAAGAGGUAAAGUACCUUUGAGAGAUAGGAUGAAUCUGGUUUGCUGGUGGUGAGUGAGGAUUAGGGCUGGGCGAUAUAUUAAUAUCUUGUCCAAUACCGGUUUCUAGACCACAUCGUUGAUAACAUUUGAAGAACAACUGAUAUGGCAUACACCGUGAAUCACAGUGUGUGUUUCUGGGAUGUGCCUGCAAGCAGCGGCAGAAAGCUUUUCUCCGUGAAGUCCCUGCAGAUGCUGAGUUGCUGACUUCCCUCCCAGGCAACAGGAAGUGAAAACACACACAUCCAUUGUCAAGGGAGAACGUCUAACUCCGGGAGGCAAGCGGCAAGAUUGUUCUCCAUGCCUCAUUUGGUGCAGCAGGAAACGACUCUGGUGUAUCUGGAGAGUCAGGGUUUGAAUAUCGAUUGUGGGAAUUAUGCAAGGAUUUAUUGGGUCCAGUCCACAGCUCAGCUGGAAGUCAGUGGGAAGCAACUGUUGUGGGCUUACGCAAGCGAGAGCUCCUCAAGGAACUGCUUCCCGUCAUCGGUCAGAACCUUCAUUUGCAACGGCUUUUCACCGAAUACCAAGAGCAGCUAGAUAUCUUGAGGACAAGUAGCGCCUCUGCAGAUCUUUCUCUGGCCUAAGAAAAAAAGAAACCAAUUGCCGAAAAGCAUUAAUAACAGGUGGAAACGGAAGGGGCCAUAGUCAGAACGGAAUACUCCUGGGAGAGAUGACGAAGAAGAAACCAGGCCCCGGGGUGUUUUACAU
rnacentral:lncRNA from 1 species